AAAUUAUUUGUCAUAACUUGUCGUAUAGGCUAGUAAAUAUGGACUAGCGUCUCUACCCGCCACCGUAAAAUGGCGGACUACGAAGUAAUGAUUUCUGAAU
rnacentral:ncRNA from 2 species